rnacentral:tRNA from 1 species
CGGGGCGUGGUGCAGGGGUAGCACGCCACUUUUGGGAAGUGGAGGUCGCAGGUUCGAAUCCUGCCGCCCCGA